rnacentral:lncRNA from 1 species
GGAUUGAAAUGUUUGGAAAUCGGCUAUUGAAACUUCCUUUCCUUGUCUAGGAGAUGAUUCUUUCUCUAUCUCUAGGAAUUUUUUAUGAAGACUAGUGCAAGAAGGAUGUCCACAAAUGAAGACAUACCUUCCUUUACUAACUAGAUAAAGAAAGAAAAACUCUACCAAAGGUUAUAUGAUUAAGACCAAUGUGAAAAUAUCGAGGAAAAACAUGGUCUUGUAGGGCUAGGUUUAAACCAAAAUUUAUAGGAAGAUUAAUAGAUUCCCUAGGUGUAGCUAAAAGUUCAUUAUCUUCUUGAUUAAAAGAUAGGACCUCGGCUAUAGAAAAGGGUUGGUUUUGACCUAUUGUAAUCAACUCUAGACACAGAUCAUAAUUAGGGGCAGGACAUGUUGACUCCCAUGGUCUAUGGCUGGUCUCCGAAGGUGCAAAGAAUUCAAUAAUAGGUAUGGAAUUUGAGUUAUCCAUAAAGAUGGAAAAAAUAAAAAAGAUAAAAGAAUAAAAGUAUAAAAGUAUAAUACAAGAUAAUAGCAAGACUUAAAGUUAUCUCUGCAAACCGUCUUUAUCCCUGGCAAUGGCGCUAGAAGUGCUUGUUGAUAUUUGGUAACGCAAUAAGGAAAUGAUCUGCAACCGCACGGAUAUCGGUGAGCAUUUCACCCCGGAGGUUAUCCGGAGUAUCGUAUUUAUAUUUUUACCACUGGGAGAAAGCGUGCAUCUGACUAACCAAAUCUAUUGCUACUACCCUUUAGGCUACAAAGAAUGUUUCUUGAUGUGAGCGAUGUAUAGAGAAGACUGCAAUCGUGGUCUCAUUCUAACCUUGGUAAGGAUGAUCUACUGUUCUAUUGGGGAAGCUUACAGAAUCUAGACACCACAGAGGAUGUUCGACCUGCACCUAUAAACCCUAUCCUUCCUACUAACGAGAUAUGGGCUUCAAAGGUAACUCGGAAAUGUCACGUUCCUCGCUACUACCACGGUCCAGCUAGUCAGGGGAUAUCUAUGAGUACCCUAGCCCA